rnacentral:lncRNA from 1 species
CCCUGGGGAGUUGGGGUCUGAGUCUGGGGAAAGGCUGGCUGGAGGAUGAUUAAGAGUGGUCUGCAGGCUGUACCCUGGUGGUGGCAAUGUGAGAGCUACAGCCACCGUCCAUAUGGACUUCUGUGCCUCUGGCUGCCAGCCUAUGACUUCGAAAGUGACAGCAGCUGCGAGGCCCUCAGGGCCAGAUGCUGUCAUAGAGGCCAGCUCCCUGGAGGCCAAGGGUCAUGAUCCUGACCACAGGUCAAGGCCCAGGCAGGAAGGUCUCCUCCUCAGCCAGAGGCAGCCCGCCACUCCAGGUGCCAAGCAGGAGCUUCAUAGCAGCCGCACUGGCAGGGCAGGUUGAGUACACCAGCAGCUGUCCUAGGCCUUUGUCACAGCCAAUCCAACUCUGCAAACUACCUCGAGCUCCCAACGCUGCCUCCUGGACACCGGCCACUCCAGAGACACAGCCUUCCUGUAUCCCAAGCAGCCAUCGGGCCCACACCCAGCUUUGGGGGCUAACCACCAGGGUCAGGAAGGACCUAAAGUUCUACCACUUGGAAGUGCUAUCCCUGGAAAAACAGCUUCCCAGGAGACACAGAUGUCAGUGUGAACUGGAAGAUGUCCCAGGAUGGCCGUGUGACCUGUGUGGGUACCAUUGCCUCUCACAGCCUCAGUCUCCUCAUCUGCAAGAUGCCCAGAGAUGCUUGAGGAGGCGGUGUGCACCUGGAAGGAAGUGGGCUUUUAUGAACUGGUAACUUCCUCACCCUCCAAAGGUGGUGGUCCUGACAGACUGGCACACAGCAGUUGGGCAAGGAGGCAGAGGAGCCUGGCAGGGUGAGAGGGUGAGGCAAGGACUCAAAGGACACCCUAACCACAAAGGGAACCCCCAAGGAGCAGGGACAAGAUGGAGCUCCUGGUGCAAACACAAACCCAUCCAAGGCCUGACUGGGGCUCAAGGGGGUUCCUGACCAAGCCAGGGUCCAUGGCAAGUGAGGGGCAGACCAGUAUGGAGGUCCAGGUCUGGAGAUGUCUCUGGAAGUCUUCUUGGAGGAGGAGGCCCUGUCUCCAGCAGCCUCUGGGAACCACUAAUGCUUCGUGGUGGGCAUGGCCGCUACUUGCACUUCCCUGAUCCCCACUGAUAUAGAAUAAAAGUUGGGAGGAGGCCA